AUUGAACGCUGGCGGCAUGCCUUACACAUGCAAGUCGAACGGCAGCGGACCUUCGGGUGCCGGCGAGUGGCGAACGGGUGAGUAAUGCAUCGGAACGUACCUUUCAGUGGGGGAUAACGUAGCGAAAGUUACGCUACUACCGCAUAUUCUGUGAGCAGGAAAGCAGGGGAUCGCAAGACCUUGCCCUGAUUGAGCGGCCGAUGUCAGAUUAGCUAGUUGGUGAGGUAAAGGAUCACCAAGGCGACGAUCUGUAGCGGGUCUGAGAGGAUGAACCGCCAAACUGAAACUGAGACACGGUCCAGACUCCUACGGGAGGCAGCAGUGCGGAAUUUUGGAUAAUGGGGGCAACCCUGAUCCAGCCAUGCCGCGUGAGUGAAGAAGGCCUUGGGGUUGUAAAGCUCUUUCGGCCGGGAAGAAAUCGCACGGGCUAAUACCCGGUGUGGAUGACGGUACCGGAAUAAGAAGCACCGGCUAACUACGUGCCAGCCGCCGCCGUAA
rnacentral:rRNA from 1 species